rnacentral:rRNA from 1 species
UACGUGGGGUGCGAGCGUUGUUCGGAAUUACUGGGCGUAAAGCGCGUGUAGGCGGCCUAUUAUGUCAGGUGUGAAAGACCUCGGCCUAACCGAGGAAGCGCGCCUGAAACUGCUAGGCUUGAGUACGAGAGAGGAGGACGGAAUUCCCAGUGUAGAGGUGAAAUUCGUAGAUAUUGGGAGGAACACCGGCGGCGAAAGAGGUUCUCGGGAUCGAUAAUGACGAUAAGACGCGAAAGCGUGGGGAGCAAACAGG